rnacentral:tRNA from 1 species
GCGACCGUGGCGGAAUUGGCAGACGCGCACGUUUGAGGGGCGUGUGGGUAACCCCGUACGAGUUCAAGUCUCGUCGGUCGCACCA